CAGCCGCCGCGGUAAUACGAAGGGUGCAAGCGUUAAUCGGAAUUACUGGGCGUAAAGCGUGCGUAGGCGGUUUGUUAAGUCUGUUGUGAAAUCCCCGGGCUCAACCUGGGAAUGGCAAUGGAUACUGGCAAGCUAGAGUGUGUCAGAGGAUGGUGGAAUUCCCGGUGUAGCGGUGAAAUGCGUAGAGAUCGGGAGGAACAUCAGUGGCGAAGGCGGCCAUCUGGGACAACACUGACGCUGAGGCGCGAAAGCGUGGGGAGCAAACAGGAUUAGAUACCCCUGUAGUCCCUGUCUCUUAUAC
rnacentral:rRNA from 1 species